ensembl:snRNA U6 U6 spliceosomal RNA
GUGCUCACUUCAGCAGCAAAUACACUAAAAUUGGAAGGAUACAGAGAAAUUAGGAUGGCUCCUGCACAAGGAUGAUAUGCAAAUUUAUAGUGUACCAUAUCUUU